rnacentral:lncRNA from 1 species
GUUCGUUUGUCAUUUUAUAAAUUGCGUAGUUUACCUCGGAAAAGGGUUCUUGCGUCCGAGCUUGCGAAGACGACAUGUUAGAUGACGAGUUCGAGGACGUGUUAGAAGAAGGUUUAGGCCCCAUCCCGCGGUACCAUCCUCGCCGCUCACCCAACGCUUCCUGAUACGGGGCAAUUGGUGGACCCUCACCGCUCCAUUCACUUGUGGCCUGUUGUAUGUUCCGCUGUAUUUUACGAAGAUGAUUAAAUAUAUAUGUGCGUAUAUAUAUAUAUAUGUUAUAGAAAAUAAUACUUAAAAGAAAUACUUACGUAAUUUUGUUCAGCAAUCGGAUCAACCCAAUUCCCUUGAUUGUCCGUGUGGGUUUUAGCAUACGUAGGUACCCAAUCCAUCUCCUGUUUAACAUUAAACUUGGAUUAGACAUUAAAUAAACAAAAGCUUACACACACGCACACAUACAUAUAACAUUACAUUUUUAUAGGCGGUGCUACCGUACGACGAUGUCCCCCCAUGGUAUGGGAAUUGUUGUUUCUCGCGUACUAGGCAUAUCCGCGGGAUGGUAUGCCCUUGCGCUCGCAAUAUCAUUGUAACCUCCCUUGCUCUUAAAUAAUUUUUUAGCGUCGUACUUGCGGUCAGAGUACCGCUUCAUAAGCACAACCCUAAUACCACCUGUCAAGUUUUUGGCCUCUAAAUCACGUUCCACUUCAUCAAAAUUGAAAUUU